AUUCCGUAGGUGAACCUGCGGAAGGAUCAU
rnacentral:rRNA from 1 species